ensembl:snRNA U5 U5 spliceosomal RNA
UAACUCUGGUUUCUCUUUGGAGUACAAAAAGCUUUUGCUUUUUUCUAAAGAUUUCCAUGGAGAAGAACAGUAAUGAGUUUUAAACUAAUUUUCGAGGCCUUGUUUUUAUGAGAC